rnacentral:rRNA from 1 species
UAGGGAAUCUUCCGCAAUGGACGCAAGUCUGACGGAGCAACGCCGCGUGAGUGAAGAAGGUUUUCGGAUCGUAAAACUCUGUUGUAAGAGAAGAACAAAUUGUAGAGUAACUGCUACAGUCUUGACGGUAUCUUACCAGAAAGCCACGGCUAACUACGUGCCAGCAGCCGCGGUAAUACGUAGGUGGCGAGCGUUAUCCGGAUUUACUGGGCGUAAAGGGCGUGUAGGCGGCUAGAUAAGUGUGAUGUUUAAAUCCAAGGCUUAACCUUGGGGUUCAUUACAAACUGUUUAGCUUGAGUGCUGGAGAGGAGAGUGGAAUUCCUAGUGUAGCGGUAAAAUGCGUAGAUAUUAGGAGGAACACCGGUGGCGAAGGCGGCUAUCUGGACAGUAACUGACGCUGAGGCGCGAAAGCGUGGGGAGCAAACAGG